rnacentral:rRNA from 1 species
GACGAACGCUGGCGGCGUGCUUAACACAUGCAAGUCGAACGGAAAGGCCCUGCUUUUGUGGGGUGCUCGAGUGGCGAACGGGUGAGUAACACGUGAGUAAACUGCCCUUGACUUUGGGAUAACUUCAGGAAACUGGGGCUAAUACCGGAUAGGAGCUCCUGCUGCAUGGUGGGGGUUGGAAAGUUUCGGCGGUUGGGGAUGGACUCGCGGCUUAUCAGCUUGUUGGUGGGGUAGUGGCUUACCAAGGCUUUGACGGGUAGCCGGCCUGAGAGGGUGACCGGCCACAUUGGGACUGAGAUACGGCCCAGACUCCUACGGGAGGCAGCAGUGGGGAAUAUUGCACAAUGGGCGGAAGCCUGAUGCAGCAACGCCGCGUGCGGGAUGACGGCCUUCGGGUUGUAAACCGCUUUCGCCUGUGACGAAGCGUGAGUGACGGUAAUGGGUAAAGAAGCACCGGCUAACUACGUG